UAUUAUAAAUAUGACUGACUUGGGUCAAGC
rnacentral:piRNA from 1 species